GCCUUCGUGGUGCAGUGGUGAGCACGCUUGGCGCGUAUUCAAGAGGUGCUUGGUUCGAGUCCAAGCGAUGGCA
rnacentral:tRNA from 1 species